UAUCGCUUGUUAUAUUUACAUGAUGACUUAUUUUUGAAUUUACUUAGAAUAUUAUUAUAUCCAUAAGAUUUUACAGGUUGAUUUCAAUAAUAGAAUAUUAUUGUUUCAACAAUCCCGUGAGGUUGAGCUUUCUUAAAAAACUUCGAACAUGGCUUCAGAGCAUACACUUGAAAAUUACCUAUUUAUGUUUAUAAACAAACAUGUCACACGCGAAUACAAGUGUAAUUAUAAUUUAUCAAUGGAUCAACAUCUUGACAUAGACAGAAAAAAAUAAGAUUGUCUUCAAUUUGUGAUUAUGAUGUAUGGAUGGGUUCAAAUCGUUUUUAUCAAUGACAAAUAUAAGCUAGUUAACAAAUAUCAUUUGGACGCAUUCGAACAUUACAGUUGAAUUUUGUAAAUAAAGUCAUGUACGUAAAGGUAAAACCGAAGGUAAAAGUGAAAUCGAGUGAUUAUGUAUGAUGUGGAUUUAAUAUUCUAGGCAGAACAAAGAGUAGAGCCCCGAUGUUAAAGAUACCAAGCUCAACACCCGAGAAAAAAAGUUAAUACGAUUUCCCGUAACAGUGCGGGUUCCGUUCGACGUUGGCAUAAUCUGUUUCAAUUACAUUCCAGCAGAAGAUUCUCAUUCAACGUUCGGGAUCGUAGGUGAUACUUGUGCCCUUAUAAAAGAGCAUAGAAAUAAGAUGUUGUCUUUUUAGGUAGUCGAAUUGCUAGUGUAAAUUGAAAUUAUGAUUAUUGUGCAAAUUAAAUUUCAUUGAGGCGUCAUAAAAAUUUAAUAAAAAAUAUGAUUAAAAUUAUGGUUACGAAUCUAUUUAUUUCAAUAAUAAAAUCCAUAAGUUCAAUAAAAAACACUCUUUUUAAAACAACAAUAUUAUUACUGUUUUUAAGGCUCUACAGAAGCUUUUAAAAAUUUCGAAGCUUUCAAAGCUAUUGUAAAAACAACAAUAAUGUAUUAUUGAAACAAUAAUAUUUCUUAUUACCGCCAAAACAAUGUGAAAUUCUUAUUGAAUUUAUAUCAAAUAUCAUUAUAUUUACAAGAGUUUUUUC